UACGUAGGGUGCAAGCGUUGUCCGGAAUUAUUGGGCGUAAAGAGCUCGUAGGCGGUUUGUCGCGUCUGCUGUGAAAAACUCGGGGCUUAACCCCGGGCCUGCAGUGGGUACGGGCAGACUAGAGUGCGGUAGGGGAGACUGGAAUUCCUGGUGUAGCGGUGAAAUGCGCAGAUAUCAGGAGGAACACCGGUGGCGAAGGCGGGUCUCUGGGCCGAUACUGACGCUGAGGAGCGAAAGCCAGGGGGAGCGAACGGG
rnacentral:rRNA from 1 species